UGGGGAAUAUUGGGCAAUGGGCGCAAGCCUGACCCAGCAACGCCGCGUGAAGGAAGAAGGCUUUCGGGUUGUAAACUUCUUUUGUCAGGGACGAAGCAAGUGACGGUACCUGACGAAUAAGCCACGGCUAACUACGUGCCAGCAGCCGCGGUAAUACGUAGGUGGCAAGCGUUAUCCGGAUUUACUGGGUGUAAAGGGCGUGUAGGCGGGGAAGCAAGUCAGAUGUGAAAACCACGGGCUCAACCUGUGGCCUGCAUUUGAAACUGUUUUUCUUGAGUACUGGAGAGGCAGACGGAAUUCCUAGUGUAGCGGUGAAAUGCGUAGAUAUUAGGAGGAACACCAGUGGCGAAGGCGGUCUGCUGGACAGCAACUGACGCUGAGGCGCGAAAGCGUGGGGAGCAAACAGG
rnacentral:rRNA from 1 species